GACGAACGCUGGCGGCGUGCCUAAUACAUGCAAGUAGAACGCUGAAGAGAGGAGCUUGCUCUUCUUGGAUGAGUUGCGAACGGGUGAGUAACGCGUAGGUAACCUGCCUUGUAGCGGGGGAUAACUAUUGGAAACGAUAGCUAAUACCGCAUAACAAUGGAUGACACAUGUCAUUUAUUUGAAAGGGGCAAUUGCUCCACUACAAGAUGGACCUGCGUUGUAUUAGCUAGUAGGUGAGGUAACGGCUCACCUAGGCGACGAUACAUAGCCGACCUGAGAGGGUGACCGGCCACACUGGGACUGAGACACGGCCCAGACUCCUACGGGAGGCAGCAGUAGGGAAUCUUCGGCAAUGGGGGCAACCCUGACCGAGCAACGCCGCGUGAGUGAAGAAGGUUUUCGGAUCGUAAAGCUCUGUUGUAAGUCAAGAACGAGUGUGAGAGUGGAAAAUUCACACUGUGACGGUAGCUUACCAGAAAGGGACGGCUAACUACGUGCCAGCAGCCGCGGUAAUACGUAGGUCCCGAGCGUUGUCCGGAUUUAUUGGGCGUAAAGCGAGCGCAGGCGGUUUGAUAAGUCUGAAGUUAAAGGCUGUGGCUCAACCAUAGUUCGCUUUGGAAACUGUCAAACUUGAGUGCAGAAGGGGAGAGUGGAGUUCCAUGUGUAGCGGUGAAAUGCGUAGAUAUAUGGAGGAACACCGGUGGCGAAAGCGGCUCUCUGGUCUGUAACUGACGCUGAGGCUCGAAAGCGUGGGGAGCGAACAGGAUUAGAUACCCUGGUAGUCCACGCCGUAAACGAUGAGUGCUAGGUGUUGGAUCCUUUCCGGGAUUCAGUGCCGCAGCUAACGCAUUAAGCACUCCGCCUGGGGAGUACGACCGCAAGGUUGAAACUCAAAGGAAUUGACGGGGGCCCGCACAAGCGGUGGAGCAUGUGGUUUAAUUCGAAGCAACGCGAAGAACCUUACCAGGUCUUGACAUCCCGAUGCUAUUUCUAGAGAUAGAAAGUUACUUCGGUACAUCGGUGACAGGUGGUGCAUGGUUGUCGUCAGCUCGUGUCGUGAGAUGUUGGGUUAAGUCCCGCAACGAGCGCAACCCCUAUUGUUAGUUGCCAUCAUUCAGUUGGGCACUCUAGCGAGACUGCCGGUAAUAAACCGGAGGAAGGUGGGGAUGACGUCAAAUCAUCAUGCCCCUUAUGACCUGGGCUACACACGUGCUACAAUGGUUGGUACAACGAGUUGCGAGUCGGUGACGGCAAGCUAAUCUCUUAAAGCCAAUCUCAGUUCGGAUUGUAGGCUGCAACUCGCCUACAUGAAGUCGGAAUCGCUAGUAAUCGCGGAUCAGCACGCCGCGGUGAAUACGUUCCCGGGCCU
rnacentral:rRNA from 1 species